UUUAAUCGCCUACAAUGAUAUUAUAAAACUAGACUAAUACUUUUAAUGACUAAAUUAUGACUAAAACUAAAUAUUUUAGUCAAGAGACAAACAUUAGAGGGCAGCAUGUGGCUACAGACUAAAAGGUGUUUGUUCAGUGAGUUGAUUGGUUAAGACAACAAGAGGAAGUGUGAUGUCACACAUCCUUAAAAAAACACCCGUUUAUGUUCGUCAUGUAAAGGUUUCAUAAUUUUAGGAAGAACAGCAGCAUGUAUGUUAAAUAGUCACUUCAACUGGAUUGAUAAUUCAGAAAACUCAACAAUAUGAUUGUCAUCUUCUGCUUAAUGUUCAACAUGAUUCAAGUUUUAGGCUCUUCCCUCAGCGAUCAGGUCCAUCAGACUCCAGCUGAUCUGUUCCAGGAGCCCGGAGGAACCGCCGUCAUCAACUGCACACACAGCAUUGACAGCUACGAUGUUAUCCUCUGGUACAAACACUCAACAAGCAGCCAGAUGCAGCUCCUGGGAUAUAACGAUGUUGUAAACGGAUACCCAGAGAAGGAUGUUAAGGUGAAAAUCAGUGGCAGCGCAAGCAAAGACAAGAUCUGCACUCUGACGGUGGAGGAUCUGAGUGUGAGCAGCAGCGCCGUUUAUUUCUGCGCCGCUAAAUACCACAGUGCUUCAUAUUAAUGCUCCCCAGCACAAAAACCUCCAGUUUAAUC